CAGCAGUGAGGAAUAUUGGUCAAUGGACGCAAGUCUGAACCAGCCAUGCCGCGUGCAGGAAGACGGCUCUAUGAGUUGUAAACUGCUUUUGUACGAGGGUAAAUGCAGGUACGUGUAUCUGUUUGAAAGUAUCGUACGAAUAAGGAUCGGCUAACUCCGUGCCAGCAGCCGCGGUAAUACGGAGGAUCCAAGCGUUAUCCGGAUUUAUUGGGUUUAAAGGGUGCGUAGGCGGUUUUAUAAGUUAGAGGUGAAAUCUCGGGGCUCAACUCCGAAAUUGCCUCUAAUACUGUAGGACUAGAGAGUAGUUGCGGUAGGCGGAAUGUAUGGUGUAGCGGUGAAAUGCUUAGAGAUCAUACAGAACACCGAUUGCGAAGGCAGCUUACCAAACUAUAUCUGACGUUGAGGCACGAAAGCGUGGGGAGCAAACAGGAUUAGA
rnacentral:rRNA from 1 species